GUCUAUGGCCAUGCCGCCCUGAACAAGCCCAAUCUUGGCUGAUUUCAGAAGCUAAGCAGGGUGGGGCCUAGUUAGUACUUGGAUGGGAGACCACCUAGGAAGACCAGGUGCUAAAGGCG
ensembl:rRNA 5S_rRNA 5S ribosomal RNA